rnacentral:rRNA from 1 species
UAGCGAAGGGGGCUAGCGUUGUUCGGAGUUACUGGGCGUAAAGGGCGCGUAGGCGGCGCACCAAGUCAGGCGUGAAAGCCCUGGGCUCAACCCGGGAAUUGCGCUUGGAGACUGGUGUGCUUGAGUACGGGAGAGGAUAGUGGAAUUCCCAGUGUAGAGGUGAAAUUCGUAGAUAUUGGGAAGAACACCGGUGGCGAAGGCGGCUAUCUGGACCGUAACUGACGCUGAGGCGCGAAAGCGUGGGGAGCAAACAGGG